CGGCGCGGGUAGCGAACGAGCGAACCAGCGGGGCGGUCCGAGCUGCGGAGCGCCCCCAAGCGGCAGGAGAUGGGGCUGUGUGGAUCUGUGUGCUCGCUGCAUUCCCCUCCUGGAGUGGUACAUGAAGAGAUGCUCUCUUGUUCCUUGAGGACGGAUCCCACGUGCUUAACACCUCUGGAAGAAAAACAGUGAUAUUUUCACAGCUGUAGUAGUCUAAAUACUGAGGGCAUGCAGAUUUGUCCCUAGCAUUUCUGUGAGGAAUGACACAAGAUCGUUACCUUGCUGAGACUGAGCGAUCCAAUUUCAAAGCAUGGAAAAAGGGUAAUCAUGAAACACAGACCCUAGGUUAAUAAAGAGGCUCUAAGAAAAGACAUCAGUCCAUCGUUACUUUUCUCUUUUCUGUGCAUAAGGAGAAAUAACCUCCUCCUUGUUAAUGUUACUGGAUUAGAUCAGUGCAAAAUGUACCAAUGCAAAAUU